GACGAAGGUGGCAAGCGUUGCUCGGAAUCACUGGGCAUAAAGCGCGCGUAGGUGGCUUGAUAAGUCGGUGGUGAAAUCCCACGGCUCAACCAUGGAACUGCCGUCGAUACUGUCAGGCUUGAGGGCGGUAGGGGAGAGUGGAACUCCUGGUGUAGCGGUGAAAUGCGUAGAUAUCAGGAGGAACGCCGGUGGCGAAAGCGGCAUCCUGGACCAAUAUUGACGCUGAGGAGCGAAAGCCAGGGGAGCAAACGGG
rnacentral:rRNA from 1 species